rnacentral:tRNA from 1 species
GGCGCUUUGGCGGAGUGGUUAUCGCGCAAGCCUAGAAAGCUUGUUCCUUCGGGAGCGCAGGUUCGAGUCCUGCAGGCGUCG